rnacentral:rRNA from 1 species
GAUGAACGCUGGCGGCGUGCCUAACACAUGCAAGUCGAGCGAAGCAUUUUCGAUGAAGUUUUCGGAUGGGAUUGGGAAUGACUGAGCGGCGGACGGGUGAGUAACGCGUGGAUAACCUGCCUCAUACAGGGGGAUAACAGUUAGAAAUGACUGCUAAUACCGCAUAAGCGCACGGUACCGCAUGGUACAGUGUGAAAAACUCCGGUGGUAUGAGAUGGAUCCGCGUCUGAUUAGCCAGUUGGCGGGGUAACGGCCCACCAAAGCGACGAUCAGUAGCCGACCUGAGAGGGUGACCGGGCCACAUUGGGACUGAGACACGGGCCCAAACUCCUACGGGAGGCAGCAGUGGGGAAUAUUGCACAAUGGGGGAAACCCUGAUGCAGCGACGCCGCGUGAGUGAAGAAGU